UUCUUCCUCUAUGGUCCUCCAGUCACCUGACCAAACGCCAUGCAAAUCACUCUGCUUCUAGAGCCUCAUUGGCCGCUUGUGCUUCAUUUAACCGCUGUCAGUGCGCAUCAUAUGGCUGCCGCUUUUACCAACUUCUCAACUCCGACAGGGAAAGUGGCUCCAAUGCGCAUUCUAUCACAGUGGAUGUGAACCCAGCCCAGGCGAAGACAGGGUGAAAUACUGGUUGGAGAACAUUUUGUAUGCCCUUUCGGAUUAAUUUUCAUCUCGCAUUUGCUUCAUUUGGGGGUUAGAUUAUUAAUUUUGUAGCCCAGUCAUCCUGAGCGCACCCGCACUUGUGCGCGCCGCACCUAUCUUGAAAUAGACUUUUUCUCUGUUGGUGGCGAAGUUUAAAACCAGGUGAAUGUAUAGCAUGAUGAUGGAAACUGACCUUCAUUCCCCCGGCCCCCAAACGAACUCGACCACGGGGCAAACGGGGCCGAAUAGCGGGUCCAAAGCGAAUCAGGAGCGCGUGAAGAGACCGAUGAACGCGUUCAUGGUGUGGUCCCGUGGGCAGCGGAGAAAGAUGGCACAGGAGAACCCCAAAAUGCACAACUCUGAGAUCAGCAAGCGGCUGGGCGCCGAGUGGAAGGUGAUGUCCGAGGCUGAGAAGCGUCCUUUCAUCGACGAGGCGAAACGGUUACGAGCCAUGCACAUGAAGGAGCAUCCGGAUUACAAGUACCGGCCGAGACGGAAGACCAAGACGUUGCUGAAAAAGGACAAAUAUUCCCUGGCCGGUGGACUGCUUUCUGGGCCCAGUGGUGGCGGUGGAGUUGGUUUAGGGGUCGGCAUGAGUUCAUCCGGGGUCGGGCAGAGGUUAGAAAGCCCCGGGGGUCACGGAGGCUCGGCCAGCUCCGGCUACGCGCACAUGAACGGCUGGGCGAACGGUGCGUACUCGGGGCAGGUGGCUGCAGCCGCGGCAGCCGCUGCGAUGAUGCAGGAGGCUCAGCUAGCCUACAGCCAGCACCCGGGCAGCGGAGCGCACCACCACCACCACUCACACCACCAUCAUUCACACAACCCCCAGCCCAUGCACCGCUACGACAUGACAGCCCUGCAGUACAGCCCCAUCUCGAACUCUCAGAGCUACAUGAACGCUUCUCCAUCCGGCUACGGCGGGAUCACCUACACACAACACCAGGGCUCCGGCGUCUCCUCUUCAGCUGCCAUGGGGACGUUAGGGUCGCUGGUGAAGUCGGAGCCGAGUGUAAGCCCUCCCGUCAGCAGCACACACUCACGGGGUCCUUGCCCCGGAGACUUGAGAGAGAUGAUAAGCAUGUAUUUACCGACCGGAGAGCCGGGGGACCCGUCAAUGCAAAGUAGACUCCAUGCCUUGCCGCAGCAUUACCAGAGCGCCACGGCUGGAGUGAACGGGACGGUCCCUCUAACACACAUUUAGAACUCACAGAAUAAUUGAAAACUGCAAACGAACACAUAACCAAAUAUUUACCUCUUUUCUAAAUAACCCCGGUCCCGAGAACUACCUGCAUUUUGUACAGAAUGUUUAUGAUAUUGUAAAUGAAGGGUAAAUAGCAUAUUCAUCUCGGCUUUUUUGAAUAGCCACCAGUGGAAUUAUAUAACGAGUAUGAUGCUGAGAUAUUGGUUAUUGUGCUAUCAUCUUUUUGUCCAUCACUUCACGCUCUUAGUUGAGGGUUACGCCAGGUUCACAUGGGGGUAUAUUUGCUUCAAUUGUCUCAUAUUUUUUUAUUUUUUGGGGAGGGGCGGGGGAAGUUUCUUGUAAGUUAUUUGAAAAUGAGAUAACGUGUCAUAAUCAUAAGAAAGUGCUUUAAAAGAUAUGGGAAAAUCACAUUCUUUAAACAUUUGUGUUCCUUUGCAGAAGCCUGUGUCUUAAUUCUUGGAAAUCAUCUCUUUUUAUUGUAACACUCUAAUUAUUGUAAAUUGUGAAUAAUUUUAAUAUUUCAAAGGAUGACGGGCAACUGCUGUUGUAAUUUAAGUGCUUUUCUGCAAGUGAAAAGCCCUGAUAUUGCAAUGAAGAAUAAUUGAAUAAAUUUCACAAGAUGUUGCUUUGAUUCUUAAGACAACGGUCUUAGAUUGAUUAUUUUUUUCUCACAGGAGUGUUUUCACGUUUUUUUAGGAUGUCAUGAGGACUGUUCUAGAAAAAAAAUAGCCUCCUCUUAAAUUUUUGACAUCGCUGCUGGACACAGAUCCCACGAGCUUUUAAAUAGACCAAUUGUUUGUGCGUAAUUACGCAUAAAAGCCUACAGUCUGCGGGGCUGUAAGGAAACCAUUUUGUUAGGUGGAUGUGGUUUCAUGAGCUCGAGUUUUAUGGGUAAUUACAAAUAUGUUCAUAAAUUGGAAAAAUCUUUUCCCCCUUUUUCUCUAUUUCAGAGGCAUGCAGGCCUAAAAUAUAACCGAGAAUCAUUUUUCAUAUUUAAUGCAGGCCAACAUGAUGGCCAACGUUCUCUUUUCAUAUUAAUAUCAUUCCUCACACGUUUGUUUUUACACAUUUUAUUUUAAAAAAAAUCAACAAGGCCUCACAUGACAACCACCUGUUAGUUUAUUUAACGAAAUGUCCUCAUUUAAUAAUGGGUUAAGUGUUUUUUCUAAAUGAUGCCUGUGACAUUUUUUAAUAUUUCCCACAGACACAUGACAAUUUUCAUGGCAAAUUUAAGCUUCGAAUUUUAUUUUUGCAGACUUAAUUCUUAUUUUUAUCUAUUUGUAGUGUGUUGUGGCAUUAUAUUAAUCUGCCAUUACAUUUUAAUUCUGCUACUGAAUUGCAAAAUUGUGCCAAGAUUAUUUCUUGAACAGCUCGUAGACCAGAUUUUAAACUAUGAAAUGCUCCUGAAAAAUUUAACGACCUCUCACUAAAUGUGUUUAAAUAUAACUUUAUAAUUUCUAAAUUAAUAUGACUAUCACUUGAACUAUGAAUUACCAAAAUAGAUUAAUAUCUUUUUGCUGCACUGAAGUAGUUUGUUUAUUUUUUAUUCUUAUUAUUUUACUGUGAACUUUGGAAUUCACUGCUUCUGUUCUGAACAUUUUACAGAAGACUCGGACAGAAAUAACCAAGAAGAUCAAAAUAUAAAGAACAGUUUGAAGAUUUUAUUCUUAAAAAGCUUAAAUUAAUGACAAUAUUUUCAAUAUUUAACAGUUUUGUCUUACGUGCACAUUUUAUCUGCCUUUUGCCAUUUGAUUGCUUCUAAGUGGGACAAACAUGUGAACUAUUGGAAGAAACAGCAGCUUGUAUUUUUUGAUUGGUGCAGUAGAAAACAGCAGGAAAACACUUUAAAAAUCCCAAAAGUCCUCUUGCUGCUUUUUGCUCAUCUUACUUAACAAAUAAACGGUGUUCAAAUGUGAGAAAUUAAUUAAGAAAUGACUAUAGUAGCUUUGAUUUCAGUGGCUUUUUGGUCCAUCAUGGAGAGAUGUUUCUGUAUUUUGCUCUUGGUAGAGGCAGAAAGGUGGGAUUUAAACUGUCAAGUCGAUCCACUGCAAGAAACUUUGAAUAAAUAGUCAGUGAUUGAAACAGAAGAAAAAAUCUCAAGGCCACAUUUGUUCAGAUCUAAAACAGAAAGCGUUCAGGCAAACUGUUGCACAGACUGGAUUUAGACUUCCCAUCGGUCAGCAACCUUCUGACAGCUCUCUUCUGGAGUCACUGUUGACUCAUCAGGAUUUCAGACAUCUAGAUUAUCAUUUGUUUUUACUAACGUUGUAGAUUUUAAAGACAAACCAUACCCGCCUCAUUUUAUCUUCAUUAAUCCUUUUCAAACAAUAAAAAAUGAGGAUGACUUCAUUUUUCCUGACAGACCAGCUGCUUUUUUCAUUAGCUCAUAUGAAGAUACAGAUUAAUAGCCAUACACAUUCAAAUGAGGAACAUUUAUGCCUACUUAGGCGUUUUUAAAAAUCAAUUAAUCUCAAAUACAGAGUUAAAGGGCCUAUUUCACACUGAUGAAGACUUGCAUGGUGUGUCAAUUAAACCUGUUAGGCCCCAUAGUUUCAGAAAAUAAAAAGCGUGCUACGUCUGGCUGCGCAUUAAUCUCUUGAAAUAAAACCACAGAUGUCUUGGAAAUGAGUUUUUAAAUUCCAAAAUAGGAGAAGGUGCCUCUUUGGAGGACAUCUCCGCGCCACGAUGCUCCCCGUAUGGCGGGGUGGAGGAGGGUGAGGAGGGGGGGAGCAUGGAGGGAUGGCCUCCUCGCGUGUUUUGCAUCUGUUUCCAUCUUAUCUGUUGAUGUGAAGAGAUGCGGAUUAACGCUGAAAGAGACGGAGAGGCGGAGCGCGUCACGGCGCAUCGCCAGGCUAAAAAGAGGAGCGUUCUGGCAAAUUUAACCCGAAUAAAUUACACCUUGAGGUGGAAAGAGGGGAUUUCUCCGUUGUUGGAAUAGCAUCUGCACGGGAACUUUUUGCAAAGAGCAAAGUCAUGACUACCAGCAGUGCACGUGGAUCGCUGUGGGUGGACUGCCGUUACCAGAUAGCACCUUGGCUCCUCUGCUGGCGAGCCAUCAUUGCACCAGGAGAUGGGUGCUGUGAGCGAAAAAGACCUUUCGGAAAAUGUCAGCAAGAGCCAAUGCCUGAAAUUUCCCCCAUUAACUCUUUCCCCUGUGAUGCUACCUAAUUUUAACCCCUAAAUUACAAAAACCCUUUUCUCAGUGUCUGAUUUCAGAGCAUGUGGAUUUUUUUUUUCUCUUAAGUGGCUUACCUGACCAAAAAAAACAAAAAACAAACCCCACCCUAUAUUUUAUCCAUCUUGGCAGAAACAAACACACACACAAAAAAUGUGCAGUGCCUGCAACAGCUCUCCUUCCCCAUUCCCUUUCAAUGGAGCCAGCUUCACUGUCUUAAUACUCUUAGUCCCUCAGUUGGCAUGUUUUCCAAUAACCCGCUGCAUUUUCAGAUUUGUAAAAUCCGUCAAAAUGCCUGUAAUGAAUAUUUCUCCAGCUCUGAGUGUAUUUAAUGUGCUGUUUGACCAGCCCGAUAGGAAACUUGUAAAGAUCUGGCGGUCGGUCCAGAGAAUCGGUUGAAGCGUUCUCGUCUGUUCGGCUCUCAGUGCAGCGUGGAAACGGUGUGAACCAGGUAAUUUCAUUUGAACACAAACCUCUGGCAGACUGUCAGAAAAUAAGCAUUUAUUGUUUGGAUAUGCUGUUAGCUUUCUAAUUAACAUAUUUCCUGUGCAUGAGUGUACAUGUCAUGUAAAUUUCUGUUUUCACUUCUUUAAAAAAAAAAAGAGAAAGAAACUGCAUAUUUUUUUGAUGGAUUAAAUGUCAUCUUGUGAGACAGGUCUUUGUUAUGCGCUCAACACUCACAUUUUACGGUUUGUUUUUCUGUUGACUUACAUAGCGUUUGCUGGAGAAUUUAAAAAAAAAGAAUAAAAGUGAGAGAACGCAUAUUAAAUAAACUCUUGCAUCUUAUUGCUGCCUGAGAACAAAA